rnacentral:rRNA from 1 species
CAGCAGCCGCGGUAAUACGGAGGAUGCAAGCGUUAUCCGGAUUCAUUGGGUUUAAAGGGUGCGUAGGCGGCUCUUUAAGUCAGUGGUGAAAUCUUGCCGCUUAACGGUAAAAUUGCCAUUGAUACUGAAGAGCUUGAGUACAUUUGAGGUAAGCGGAAUGUGUAGUGUAGCGGUGAAAUGCUUAGAUAUUACACAGAACACCAAUUGCGAAGGCAGCUUACUAAACUGUUACUGACGCUGAUGCACGAAAGCGUGGGGAGCGAACAGGAUUAGAUACCCUGGUAGUCCACGCCGUAAACGAUGCUCACUCGCUGUUUGCGAUACACAGCAAGCGGCCAAGCGAAAGCAUUAAGUGAGCCACCUGGGGAGUACGAUCGCAAGGUUGAAACUCAAAGGAAUUGACGG